GCUGGGGUCGCAUAGUCAGGCCAUUGCGCCAGACCGAGGAUCUGGUUUCCCACAAAGAUCCGCGGGUUCAAAUCCCGCCCCCAGCG
rnacentral:tRNA from 1 species